AAAAUGCGAUAAGUAGUGUAAAUUGCAGAAUUCAGUAAAUCAUCAAAUCUUUGAACGCACAUUGCGCCCUUUGGUAUUCCUUAGGGCAUGCCUAUUCGAGCGUCAUCUAAACCUUUAAGCACUGCUUAGUGUUGGGUGCCUAUCCCGCCCCCGCGCGUAGACUCACCUCAAAUCUAUUGGCAGCCCUCACGUCGGCUUCGAGCGCAGCAGAAACGCGAACUCAACGCCCGUCAGAGCAGCUCCUAGAAGCUACAUUCACUAUUUUAACCUCAGAUUAGGUAGGGAUACCCGCUGAACUUAA
rnacentral:misc_RNA from 1 species